GUGCCCGCUUCAGCAGCACGUAUACUAGAAUUGGAACGAUGCGGAGAAGAUUAGCGUGGCCCCUGUGCAAGGAUGACUCGCAAAUUCGUGAGCGUUCCAUAUUUUU